AGACAUUUAAGCCAUUUACCCAGGACGCUGCUGCUGGGGCCUUCGAAUCAUCUCUCAUUUGGAAUAAUCACUGUCUGAAUGGACGAGGUCUCCAGCAUUUGUGUGGUGCGGCGCGGGCCUCCCAGGAUCCUCCCUGCAGAAAAACGAAACGAAGAGAGAUUUAUCUCCUGGGUCAGAUAAAGGUGACUAAAUGCAAACUGGCCGAUUCCUUUCGGCAAACAGUUCCCUGGGGAGGGCUCCUACAAGGAGGAGAAGAGCCAAUCGAUCCCGGAAAUGCUUCGAGGUGACUUACAGGGAAGACUUAAAGGAAAAAGCCCUCGUGUCUUUACAGCCUCCGGCGACUCUUUCAGCCUUGUAAAACUGCCCGUACCAGCCCAUAGAGCGAGGAAGGAGGGGGUCGGGGGAGCUUCUUCCUUACCAUUGCUGCAAAGGUGGAACUCUGCAAAAUUUGACCUCUGAGAUCUCUAGCUGAGUCCUUCAUUCAUCUGUCAAGCAUCUAUUGAGUGCCUACUGUGUGCCUGCUGUGCACUUCGUAUGCUCUAUCCUGCUGAGUCCUCCAGAUGACACCAUCAUUACCCCCAUUUUCUAGCAGAGAAACUGAGGGUAUCUGAAGGGAGGCAAACGUUUCUGGAGUCCUAAAGCAAGCAAGAGGGUAGGUCCUGAGAUACGGAUUUGCAUUCACCAGCCUCCCUGGUUUGGUUUCCUUCCUGCAUCACUCCCUCUGUCAUCAGAUCUGGUUCUCACCCAGCUUCAUCUCCAAGUCUGGCUCAGGCUUGUUCUUCUCUAUCUCUCUUCCUUUCUCCUUUCUGCUCUUAGACUCAUAAGAAACCUUCCUUAUAAUCUGAGGAAACAGCCUGUGCAUCUUGGAGACUGAGUUUCUUUUGGGAUCCCCAGGUUCACACCAGCCUUUUCUCCCAUAGUCAUCCCGCCCUCAUUUCAUUAAGGUACCAGUAGCACCAGCUGGGAAGGGUAACUUGGCUUGCGGUCUGCAAACUUAUUCUGGCCCUGCAAAAGGCCAAAUAGUAAAUACUUUAAGUUUUGUGGUGCAUUGCGCUAUUGGGGUGCCAAGACAAUAUGUAAAUGAAUGGGCAUAGCUGUGUUCCAAUAAAACUUUAUUUACAAACACAGGUGGUUGGCGAGAUUUGGCCCAUAGGUUGUCAUUUGUUGAUCCUUGGGAUAGAGGAUAAAAGAUCUGGUUUUGGGGUUUGCAGACCUGAGGUCUCCCCGCAGCCCACUUUUUUUUUUUUUUUACUUCCUUGCUGUGUUACCUUGGGCAAGUUGGUGCAGCUCUCUGAGCCCCGUUUCUUUUCUGUGGAAUGAGAUAAUUAUAGCACCUGCCGCCUGGGCUUUUGCUAAGUUUAAAUGAAACCAUGCAGUGGAUUGCACAUAGUCAGUGAGCAAACUGGUAGCUGUUAUUUUAUGACGAAUGACUUUAAACCUUCUGAGGAAAGCAACCCCCCUUCCCUCAUUUGGGGGUAAGGGAAGCUGAUGUGCCAGUGUUCUGAUAUUUUGUGGUUCAUUAUGCUGUUAAGAUUUCCAUUCUUUUCAAGUUAAUGCACUUGCAUUUUAAUGACUUAGGAUGCAGAAUCUGCCUCCUUUGGGAUGGAACCAGCUGGCUGGCCUUUUGUGAGGGUGAUAGUUGGUAAAACUCUGGACACCCCCAUGAUCCCUUUGAGUCUAACCUCUGGUUCCCUUUCCUGGCUCCAGAAGGACUGACUCAGUGGGUCUAGCAUGACCACCAGUGAUCCUCUGGUUGAGAGCUGAUCACAAGUGGCCAAUUAAUCUAUUACUUGCAGAUACAUUUUCCAUUAGCAGUGGCGGAAUCAAUUAGUCAGCGUAAUGAACUUGAGUCUGGGCAAACAGGAAGGAGAGGUUAACCCCUUGGUUUCCAAAGGAGGCUGGGAUGGCAAGGGAGCGUGGAGAAGAUCUGGAGAGAAAUCGAGAGGCUGGAUAGGGACAGAGGUUUGGGAACCACAGUCAAGCUUCCAGGUAGUAAGAUGAGGUAGGUUGGACCCAAAGAGCUCUAGCUUAGAGCCAGGAAAAAAUGGCUUCUCUAGUCAUGUGGACAUGACAGAGUCAUUUUGAGCUCAGUUUCCUCCUCUGCAAAUGGGGAUCAUAAUUGUACACACCUCAUAGGAUUGUUGUGAGGAACAAAUAAGACAAGUUGUAUGAAAUACAUAGCCCCAUGUUGGGAGCGGAAAUUCUCAGUGAAUGCUAAUCUUUCUGCUACCCCUUUUUUUCUGCCUCACCACAAGCCACGAAGAGGUGAAAAAGAGACUUCUUGACUUAGAGCUAAAAAUAGCAGAAACUUCUUACUAAAAUUACUCUAGCUCAGAUCCACAUUCAAAUGUGUUACAGAGGUCAGGACUCCAACAGGUGCCUUUACUGCAGGCCUUGUCAGGGACUUAAACUUCUGACAUGUAUCGUGACGCUCCACAAAGGAUUGGAGCAAAUUUCCCAGACGUAUUAGAAUGAAACAACAUUCUUUUCCCAUCUCAGAGCAUUGCACAGGACUGUGAGUUUUAUUGUUAAAAUGGUAGGAAACGAUGCAUUCCCCAAAUGCAUCGUUUGGGGACCUCUGGUCCCCAAAGGUGGACCAGAUAGAGUCCACCUUCUCCCAAAGCCCUCCCUGUCUAUGCAAGCAACUUUCUCACUCUUAUCAGUGUUGUUAUAUCACGUUGGUGCAAAAGAAAUUGCAGUUCUUGCCAUUACUUUCCAUGGCAAAAACCGCAAUUACUUUUGCACCAACAUAAUAGACUUGAAUUAGGGUCUAGUUACCUGGUGCAGUAAGACCAGAUAUCCACACGGAGGUCUUGCAGUGGUGGAAAGAAAGGUGUUUAUUUACCAGGUGCCAAGCAAGGAGGACCAGACGGCUAACGCUUAUAUCCUGACCUCCCGAUGGCUUGCAGGUAAGUGUUUUUAAACGCAGGGGUAAAUGUCGGGAGAAGCUAUAGGCAAGAUUGUAAAUCCAUACAUGGAGGUUACACCUUGGUCUUGGCCAAAAAGGGCAGGAUACCUUGAAGCAGAGGCUUACAGGUCAUAGGUAGAUUCAAAGACUAUCUGAUUUGUAACUGGUUAAGGAAGAGAAGCUUUGUUUAAAAUUUGGGGUCAGCAGAGAAGAACAUUAACUGGCUUUGGGGUUUGACUCUCUCCAGACUCCUCAGGAAGAAAUUUAGAACAAAAAAUGGGGGUCAGAGUUCAGCCAUCAGCUCCCCCUUAUCUGAGGUUUAGGUGACAGCAGAGCUGUUCAGUGGGGGUCAUUGGUGGGGGUUCAGGGUUCUGGAAAACAACUCAGGGGCAUAUGUUAAGAUGUUACUUUUAGUUUCUAUAGGGGAAUCAAACAUCUGACUAACUUCCUUGGUUCCUGUCUUAGCCUUGUUACUAUUACCCUCUUGCUUAUCAAGCUGCUUUUCUUUUCUUUUUUUAAGACAGGAUCUCACUCUGUCAUCCAGGCUGGAGUGCAGUGGUACUGUCUCAGCUCACUGCAACUUCCACUUCCUGGGUUCAAGCAAUUCUCCCACCUCAGCCUCCCGAGUAGCUGGGAUUACAGGUGCCCGCCACCACGCCCAGCUAGCUUUUGUAUUUUUUAUAGAGAUGGGGUUUCACCAUGUUGGCCAGGCUGCUCUUGAACUCCUGGCCUCAACUGAUCCACCCGCCUCGGCCUCCCAAAGUGCUGGGAUUACAGGCAUGAGCCACCACAUCCAGCCUCAAAUUACUUAUUUACCUCUUAGGGCUAGCUAGGUGCCUGGAAUUUCCCUUGAAGGAACUCGGAAUUUUCCUCUAUUUCCAUUCUUGGUGGCAGGGGCAUGCAGACCGCCAAAAGGGGGUCCUGCUCCGUCUCAGUGUGUUCCUGUCACAGACUGAAGGCCACACUGAGAAACUGAGUGUAGUGAGCCAGACGUGGUGAGAAACGAAAUCACAGAGGACAUGGGGGCACAGGGCCUUGGAGACUCUCACAGGUACUCUGGACGUCAUACAAACAGGCCAUCAGAGGUUUCUGUGCAGGGGAAGGAGAUACUAGGUCUUAAACAGGCCCCUCUGCUCAUCCACGUUAUAGUGUACAUCAGAACUCCACUCUUUUUAAAAAAUUUUUUAAAUUUUUUAUUUUUUUGUUUUUUGAGAUGGAGCUUCACUCUUGUUGCCCAGGCUGGAGUGCAAUGAUACAAUCUCGGCUCACUGCAACCUCUGCCUCCUGGGUUCAAGCGAUUCUCCUGCCUCAGCCUCCCUACUAACUGGGAUUACAGGCAUUCACCACCACACCUGGCUAAUUUUGUAUUUUUAGUAGAGAUGGGGUUUUGCUAUGUUGGUCAGGGUGGUCUUGAACUCCUGACCUCAGGUCAUCCGCCCACCUCAGCCUCCCAAAGUCCUGGGAUUACAGGCAUAAGCCACCGCGCCUGGCCUUUAAUUUUUUUUUAAGUUCUGGGUACAUGUGCAGGGUGUGCAGACUCGUUGCAUAGGUAAACGUGUGCCAUGGUGGUUUGCUGCACCUAUCAACUCAUCACCUAGGUAUUAAGCCCAGCAUGCGUUAGUUCUUUUCCCUAAUGCUCUCCCCCACCCCGCCCUUCCCCAACAGGCCGCGGGAAAUGUUGUUCUCCUCCCUGUGCCCAUGUGUUCUCAUUGUUCAGCUCCCACGUAUAAGUGAGAACAUGUAGUGUUUCGUUUUCUGUUCCUGCAUUAUUUUGCUGAGGAUAAUGGCUUCCUCUUUAUCUAGUCUACCAUUGAUGGGCAUUUGGGUUGAUUUCAUGUCUUUGCUAUGUAAGUAGUGCUGCAAUGAACAUACGCGUGCAUGUAUCUUUAUAAUAGAAUGAUUUAUAUUCCUUUUUGUAUAUAUUCAGUAAUGGCAUUGCUGGAUCAAAUGGUAUUUCCGGUUCUAAAUUUUUGAGGAAUUGCCACACUGUCUUCCACAAUGGUUGAACUAAUUUACCUUCCCACCAACAGUGUAAAAGCGUUCCUAUUUCUCCGCAACCUCACCAGCAUCUGUUGUUUCUUGACUUUUGAAUACAUGCAGCCAAACAUACGAAAAAUAGCUCAACAUCACUGAUCAUUAGAGAAAUGCAAAUCAAAACCACAACGAGAUACCAUCUCAUGCCAGUCAGAAUGGUGAGAACUCCUCUCCUUUUUAAGACUGAGUAAUGUCCCCUUGUGUGGGUAUACCACAGUCUGUUCAUCCCUUCACUCACUGACGGACAUGUGGGUUGUUUCCAGCUUUCGGCCGUUGUGAAUAGUGCUGCUGUGAACAUGGGUGUACACAUGUUUGUUUGAGUCCCUGUUUUCAGUUCUUUGGGGUAUAUACCUAGAAGUGGGAUUGCUGGGUCAUGUGAAUUUCACUUCCAUUAAUAAUAAUAAUAAAAGCUUCCUCUGGCUAUAGGGGCCACAAAGAGGAGGCCCAACCAGCACACCCCUGAGCAAGCUGGCAUUAAAAUCCCAUCUCCCAGUUGCCUAACUGGAAGUCACCCUGAAAGGAGCAAACACACUCCCUGGGGCAGGAACUUUCUAGUCUUGGCUGAAAUGUGCUCCAUCCCAAGUGCCCAUCCACCCUCAUCCUCCAGACACUGGCAGGCAGCCGCCCCGAGAGGAUUGGAUGUUCCCCGUGCUGCGGUGGCAGUAGGAACAGGCCGUUCAUCAGUGUCUCGGGGUCUGGAAAGCCAGUCUGCACCUCCGUGUCACCGCCACCCCCUGCCAGGGAGUGUGUGUGGUGUAUGUAUUAGCAGGUAAACUGCCCCCCAUAAUGGAGAUGGAUGGGAGCCCAAUUUUGUAACAGAGAACCUUUCAUUAAGAAAACCACUGCCUUUGGAUGAUCUAGAGGCACUCACAGGCUGGCCCCAGCCUGGGACUUAAUUAUCUUACCACUAAUGAGCUGCAGUUACCAGCUUGUUGGGGCAUCUCAGCAACAACAACCGCCUGGCCUUGGGCUCCUUUUCCCCACUGUGGGCCUCGGGUGACAUGGGUAGAGAUUGUAGAGGAUGCGCCAGCUGGGAAGGUCACCAUGAGAAUCACUUCCUAAGAAUGGUCUCUGUCUUCCUGAAGUUCAACAGAGGUGUCUGCAGCAGGAGAGAGGAAAGUAGACAGGUGGAAGUACUUUCUGAUGAGGUGGCCUGGAAAAUGCUUACAUGGGGGCCCUGAGCCUUAACUAUGUCUGUGUCCAUCUCUAGGCCCUAGUAUCCUCCUAGGGUGGAACCACGACGAGAGAGGCCUGGGUUAGGUGAGAAAGGCAGGGAUAGAAAUAUAUUAUAUGCAAGAGUGUCUGUUAUACAGAAGGACUUGUUCUCCUCCCAGCUGUUUGCCUGAUUGAUUCCUGCUGGUCUCAGGGGACGUGCUGCUUCCCCAGGGAGCUCUGCCGAGACUUUACUCUCCACAGUAGAAAACCUCCCUCAUCUCUCCCUGGCACGUCUCCCUGUUUAUAUCCUUUCCAGCUCAUCCUGUCUAUGAUUACCUUGUUUAUUAAUGCAUUUAAUUGUUUACUGUCUGGCUCCCGAGUUUCUGUCCUCUUCAUACCGGCGGGGUCCUCAUCUCUUGCAAACUCUCUACCCUUAGUGCCUAGAAACAUGCUUGGUACAUUGUUGAUGCUCAAUACAUAUUUGUGGAAUGAAAGAAUGAAUGAAUGAACUGUUGAUUAUUUCUGAGAUAUAGAUGUAUUAAUAGCUCAGAGUAGCAUAGUGCCCUUUUUAAAGUUUUUUUUUAAUUGUGGUAAAUUAUACAUAACAUAACCUUUACCAUUUGAAUGUGUAGAGAUUAAAGAGGAUGUGGAGGCUGGGAGGAUCAUCAUGAGGGCCACUUUCUAAGAAUAGCCUCUCUCUCCCUGAAGAUCAAAAGAGGUGACUGCAGCAGGAGAGAGGAAAGUUAGACAGGGGUAAGUACUUUCUGAUGGGAGGACAAAGCCAUCACCAGUGUCCAUCCAUAGAGUUUUUUCAUCUUCCCCAAUGGAUAUUCUAUACCUGUUAAACUCUCACUCCCCAUUUCCCCUGCCCCAGCUCCUAGUAACUUCUAUUCUACUUUCUGUCUCUAUAAAUAUGACUCCUCUAGGGACCUCCUAUAAGUGGAAUCAUGCAAUGCAAAAGUAACUUACUGAGCCUUCUAGUCUGGCGAAGCACCCAGCAUUUUGCCCUGCGUGGAGUCAAUCCGUCAUUUUGUGCCUGAUGUCUCUUACUUGGCAUGAUGUCAUCCAGGUUCACUUGGUUUAGCAUAGGUCGGUACUUUACUCCUUUUUAUGGCAGAGUAAUAUUCCACUGUAUGGAUAAACCACAUUGGGUUUAUCCAUUCAUCCACUGCACAGUGCACUUCUGAGAGAAGACGGGUAGAUGGUGCAAGGUGGGGAAUUAUAUAUUUCUGUUUUGGAAACUUCAGAGUAAGAGAGAGCUUUCCCAUCCAGUCACGUCUCGUGCCUAGUGCUAUGUCCUUUGUGUGCUGGUGACACUAACUUGCUUUACACCUCCAUGCCUUUCCCUAUGCUGUUUCCUGUGCUUGAAGCACCCUUCCCACUGGCCCAUUGUUGGCCUGACAAGUCUCAUGUCGGCUUCAGGGUGAAAACCUCAAUGAAAGUGGAAAUUACAUCUGUUUUAUUCACCUCUGUAUUUCCAGAUCAUUAGAUGCCAUACAUACAGAUAAGCAUGCAUGAGUGAAUAAGUCAUUCCAAGCUACACUCCUCCAGAGGGUCCUCCUUGACUGUACCUCAUGCUAUGGAGCUAAUGCUGGCUGUUUUCGAGUCAGCCACCACACUCAUUGAUUGAUGCUGUGUUUGUCUCUCCUAUUAGACUAUGUGCUCCUUGAGGACAGUGCUUGUGUCUUACUCAUUUUUGUGCCCCUCCCUUGUCCUAUAAUAUACCCAGUGUAGGUAUCUAUUGAAUAAUGCUGAAGGUUGUGCACAGAUGUCAGCUGUUAUUAUCUUCCUUCCCCCUGCCACCCCACCCCAGCUACCUGGCUUCAGGUGGUCUUGUCUUCAUCUCAGCAGGGACUGGGAGCUUAUGCUGUCAGUGACUUGCUGCACAGUGCUAUGAUGUGGAAACCUCCUGCUAUAACUAUCGUAUAACUUCUUACAUCUUUGUGGCACUCAGAUGUUCCUUAGCUUCCUCAAGUCUCCAACAGCCUACUGAUGGUUGACAGAAAAGACUGGCCAGGCGCAGUGGCUCACGCCUAUAAUCCUAGCACUUUGGGAGGCCAA
rnacentral:tRNA from 10 species